rnacentral:rRNA from 1 species
AACGAACGCUGGCGGCAUGCCUAACACAUGCAAGUCGAACGAUGCUUUCGGGCAUAGUGGCGCACGGGUGCGUAACGCGUGGGAAUCUGCCCUUGGGUUCGGAAUAACGGUGAGAAAUUGCUGCUAAUACCGGAUGAUGUCUUCGGACCAAAGAUUUAUCGCCCAGGGAUGAGCCCGCGUAGGAUUAGCUAGUUGGUGGGGUAAUGGCCUACCAAGGCGACGAUCCUUAGCUGGUCUGAGAGGAUGAUCAGCCACACUGGGACUGAGACACGGCCCAGACUCCUACGGGAGGCAGCAGUGGGGAAUAUUGGACAAUGGGCGCAAGCCUGAUCCAGCAAUGCCGCGUGAGUGAUGAAGGCCUUAGGGUUGUAAAGCUCUUUUACCCGGGAUGAUAAUGACAGUACCGGGAGAAUAAGCUCCGGCUAACUCCGUG